rnacentral:rRNA from 1 species
GACGAACGCUGGCGGCGUGCUUAACACAUGCAAGUGGAGCGACGAACCGGGGCUUGCCCCGGGGCAGAGCCGCGAACGGGUGAGUAACACGUGGGUAACCCACCUCGAUGACCGGGACAACCCGAGGAAACUCGGGCUAAUACCGGAUGUGAUCCUCUUCCGCAAGGAAGUUGAUGAAAGAUAGCUUCGGCCUUCGCAUCGAGACGGGCCCGCGGCCCAUUAGCUUGUUGGUGGGGUAACGGCCUACCAAGGCUCGAUGGGUAGCUGGUCUGAGAGGACGAUCAGCCACACUGGGACUGAGACACGGCCCAGACUCCUACGGGAGGCAGCAGUGGGGAAUCUUGCGCAAUGCGCGAAAGCGUGACGCAGCAACGCCGCGUGGGGAAGACGG